rnacentral:rRNA from 1 species
UUUUUUCUUGCCCGCGGGAGAAAAUAUUCUGAAUCAAUAAGCGGAGGAAAAGAAACCAACAGGGAUUGCCUUAGUAACUGCGAGUGAAGCGGCAAAAGCUCAAAUUUGAAAUCUGACGUUUUUGACGUUCGAAUUGUAAUUUGGAGGGAUAUCUUCGGAGCAGGCGCUGUCCUAAGUUCUUUGGAACCAGACAUCAUAGAGGGUGAGAAUCCCGUGCCUGGGUGGCUGUCCCGCUCCAUGUGAAGUGUCUCCGACGAGUCGAGUUGUUUGGGAAUGCAGCUCAAAAUGGGUGGUAAAUUUCAUCUAAAGCUAAAUAUUGGCGAGAGACCGAUAGCGCACAAGUAGAGUGAUCGAAAGAUGAAAAGCACUUUGAAAAGAGAGUUAAACAGUACGUGAAAUUGUUGAAAGGGAAGCGCUUGAGACUAGAUUCGACUGGCGGUCAUCAGCUACGUUUUUGCGUGGUGCACUUGCCGUCGGUUGAGCCAGCAUCGGUUUCGAUGGCGGGAUAAAGGUUUCAGGAAUGUGGCUCCUCAAUUUUGAGGAGUGUUAUAGCCUGGAGCGCAAUGCUGCCUGUCGGGACCGAGGACCGCGCUUUUGCUAGGAUGCUGGCUAAAAGGUCUUAAGCGGCCCGUCUUGAAACACGGACCAAGGAGUCUAACAUCUAUGCGAGUGUUCGGGUGGAAAACCCUUGCGCGUAAUGAAAGUGAACGGAGGUGGGAACCCCUUUGGGGUGCACCAUCGACCGAUCCCGAUGUUUACGGAAGGAUUUGAGUAGGAGCAUAGCUGUUGGGACCCGAAAGAUGGUGAACUAUGCCUGAAUAGGGUGAAGCCAGAGGAAACCUUGGUGGAAGCUCGCAGCGGUUCUGACGUGCAAAUCGAUCGUCAAAUUUGGGUAUAGGGGCGAAAGACUAAUCGAACCAUCUAGUAGCUGGUUCCUGCGGUAUUUUUUCCUCUCUGAGAGAAAAAAUUUGAAACUACGAGCUCAUCAUGAGAGGAUGGUGGUUCUCGAAUUAGAUUCUUCGCCCUAAAUACCCACAAUUUG